UCCACGUGUAUAUGGACAAACUUCAUCGUCCGAUCUCAUUCACGCUGGAGAGCCCACAGGGAGCACAUCUAACUCUUGCUUGAGCUCUAGACUAUUUUCAUUCCCUUAUUUCACUUUGGAUUGGUGGUAUGUAACUUAGUAAAGUGCUUGAGAACCAUUUUACUUAGUAAUGUAUAUAUAUUUUUGUGCAUUUAUUACUACAUUAUUUGUGUAUAUAUUUGUGCAUUCUUAUCAUGGAUGAUCUUUUAUCUAUAGGCUACAUCCGCCUGAAAUCUUAGCAACCUAAAGCUGAUAGCAGAUUUGUUGGCACCAGAUCUGUAGACAUCAGACCUACUCAUCCUUCAAGAGUCCAAGUAACAACGCUAGCCACAGACUCGUCACUGGCUUAACUGAUUGGUAGACGCAGCUUAGCUCUGCAACCAUACAAGUUGGACUGCACACGGAGCCUGGAUCCGCUACGCCAGCCCACCAGCAGACAGCAUCAGUACCAGCCACACCCGUCUCAUCAGUGCGGCAUCGGACCAAAAGCUAAGCAACCAGCCUAAUGACACUCAGACCACUUGGUUCUAAUAUCUGAUGAUGAUAGUCUCCUAAUGUAAAUACGCUAGAUCCCAUUCUAGCAUCUGUACAGCAUUUUACCUUUUAAUUAUCCUUUGUAUAAUAAACUGUACAUAAUUUUACAUCUAAAAUAUAGUAUUUGUUGCCUGCAUUAUAACGCUGUGCUUGUAGUUUAUAUGUGCAAGUAAGGAUUCUCAAACUAUAAAAUCCCCUAGACACCCAAAACGGCCAAUAUC